UUUCCGUAGGUGAACCUGCGGAAGGAUCAUUAUUGAAUAAACCUGAUGUGACUGUUAGCUGGCUUUUCGAAGCAUGUGCUCGUCCGUCAUCUUUAAUCUCUCCACCUGUGCACAUUUUGUGGUCUUGGAUACCUCUCGAGGCAACUCGGAUUUUAGGAUCGCCGUGCUGCACAAGUCGGCUUUCCUUUCAUUUCCAAGACUAUGUUUUUAUAUACACCAAAGUAUGUUUAAAGAAUGUCAUCAAUAGGAACUUGUUUCCUAUAAAAUUAUACAACUUUCAGCAACGGAUCUCUUGGCUCUC
rnacentral:misc_RNA from 1 species